rnacentral:rRNA from 1 species
UGCGUAACGCGUAUGCAACCUACCAUCAACAGGGGGAUAACACUGAGAAAUUGGUACUAAUACCCCAUAAUAUCUCAUGCGGCAUCGCAUGGGGUUGAAAACUCCGGUGGUUGAUGAUGGGCAUGCGUUGUAUUAGCUGGUUGGUGAGGUAACGGCUCACCAAGGCGACGAUACAUAGGGGGACUGAGAGGUUAACCCCCCACAUUGGUACUGAGACACGGACCAGACUCCUACGGGAGGCAGCAG